AUUGAACGCUGGCGGCAUGCCUUACACAUGCAAGUCGAACGGUAACAGGUCUUCGGAUGCUGACGAGUGGCGAACGGGUGAGUAAUACAUCGGAACGUGCCCAGACGUGGGGGAUAACGAGGCGAAAGCUUUGCUAAUACCGCAUACGAUCUAAGGAUGAAAGCAGGGGGCCGCAAGGCCUUGUGCGUUUGGAGCGGCCGAUGGCAGAUUAGGUAGUUGGUGGGAUAAAAGCUUACCAAGCCGACGAUCUGUAGCUGGUCUGAGAGGACGACCAGCCACACUGGGACUGAGACACGGCCCAGACUCCUACGGGAGGCAGCAGUGGGGAAUUUUGGACAAUGGGCGAAAGCCUGAUCCAGCAAUGCCGCGUGCAGGAUGAAGGCCUUCGGGUUGUAAACUGCUUUUGUACGGAACGAAAAGGCUCUGGCUAAUACCUGGGGCACAUGACGGUACCGUAAGAAUAAGCACCGGCUAACUACGUG
rnacentral:rRNA from 1 species